rnacentral:rRNA from 1 species
UACGUAGGGUGCAGGCGUUAAUCGGAAUUACUGGGCGUAAAGGGCGCGUAGGCGGUAGUGUAUGUGUGAUGUGAAAGCCCUGGGCUUAACCUGGGAAGUGCAUCGCAAACUGCAUUACUGGAGUACAAGAGAGGGUGGCGGAAUUUACGGUGUAGCGGUGAAAUGCGUAGAUAUCGUAAGGAAGACCAGUGGCGAAGGCGGGUCUCUGGACAGUUCCUGACGCUGAGGCACGAAGGCCAGGGGAG